rnacentral:rRNA from 1 species
UAGUCCACGCCCUAAACGAUGUCGACUAGUCGUUCGGAGCAGCAAUGCACUGAGUGACGCAGCUAACGCGUGAAGUCGACCGCCUGGGGAGUACGGCCGCAAGGUUAAAACUCAAAGGAAUUGACGGGGACCCGCACAAGCGGUGGAUGAUGUGGAUUAAUUCGAUGCAACGCGAAAAACCUUACCUACCCUUGACAUGUCUGGAACCUUGCUGAGAGGCGAGGGUGCCUUCGGGAGCCUGAACACAGGUGCUGCAUGGCUGUCGUCAGCUCGUGUCGUGAGAUGUUGGGUUAAGUCCCGCAACGAGCGCAACCCUUGUCACUAGUUGCCAUCAUUUGGUUGGGCACUCUAGUGAGACUGCCGGUGACAAACCGGAGGAAGGUGGGGAUGACGUCAAGUCCUCAUGGCCCUUAUGGGUAGGGCUUCACACGUCAUACAAUGGUCGGUACAGAGGGUUGCCAAACCGCGAGGUGGAGCCAAUCCCUUAAAACCGNUCGUAGUCCGGAUCGU